CUCUAUUUUAUUUUUUGGUGUAGAUGGCCAAGGAAGUUGCACAGAACUUCCCCAACAUUCCCUCCCAAAUUGAUAUGGAACCUUCAAUGGAGCAAUUGCGAAAAGAAAUGGAUGAGGACAUACUAAAAAUGUCUGAGUUCAACAAAGCCAACAACUGCUUUAUGUGUGCCACUGAUAAAGAACCUGGAUGUGGCCCAAAGACUGACUGGGAAUGAAGACAAAAUGGUUCAACAGAGUAAAGAACACAAACUGGAAGUGCCGUCUUUGUUGUUGAAAAUGUAUGCUAUACCCCAUCCACACUGAAGAGGCUCUGAAAUGUACAUCAACCAGGGUUAAUGUAUGCUAUACCCCAUCCACACU